rnacentral:ncRNA from 2 species
GCUUAUUCUCAGGGCGGGGCGAAAUUCCCCACCGGCGGUAAAUCAGCGUACGCUGAAAGCCCGCGAGCGCUCCUGAACGUUCAGGAGGUCAGCAGAUCCGGUGUAAUUCCGGGGCCGACGGUUAAAGUCCGGAUGGGAGAGAGUAACG